rnacentral:rRNA from 1 species
AGUGAACGCUGGCGGCAGGCCUAACACAUGCAAGUCGAACGGCAGGACAGUAAGAGUUUGCCUCUACGGGUGGCGACUGGCGGGUGGGUGAGGCAUACAUAGGCAUCUACUUUUUCUGGGGGGAUAACGUGAGGCCACUGCUGCUAAUACCGCAUAUUAUGUACGGGUUGAAGCAGGGGAUAUUCGCAGCUUUGCUGUCUCAAUGAGCUGAGGUCGGAUUAGAUAGUUGGUGGGGUAAAGGCCCACCAAGGCAACGAUGCGUAGCUGGUCUGAGAGGAUGAUCAGCCACACUGGAACUGAGACACGGUCCAGACUCCUACGGGAGGUAGCAGUAGGGAAUAUUGCGCAAUGGGCGCAAGCCUGACGGAGCAAUGCCGCGUGGGUGAUGAAGGUCUUCGGAUUGUAAAACCCUUUUAUUAGGGAAGAAAAGCUGCAGAAUAAAAUGCCGAUGUUUUGACGGUACCUAAAGAAUAAGCAACGGCUAACUUCGUG